GUACUUACUCCUACGGGAGGCAGCAGUAGGGAAUAUUGGACAAUGGGCGCAAGCCUGAUCCAGCCAUGCCGCGUGAGUGAAGAAGGCCCUCGGGUUGUAAAGCUCUUUUGUCCGGAAAGAAAAGCAUUCGGUUAAUACCCGGGUGUUCUGACGGUACCGGAAGAAUAAGCACCGGCUAACUUCGUGCCAGCAGCCGCGGUAAUACGAAGGGUGCAAGCGUUACUCGGAAUUACUGGGCGUAAAGCGUGCGUAGGUGGUUUGUUAAGUCUGAUGUGAAAGCCCUGGGCUCAACCUGGGAAUGGCACUGGAUACUGGCAAGCUAGAGUGUGGCAGAGGGUAGUGGAAUUCCUGGUGUAGCAGUGAAAUGCGUAGAGAUCAGGAGGAACAUCCGUGGCGAAGGCGACUGCCUGGGCCAACACUGACACUGAGGCACGAAAGCGUGGGGAGCAAACAGGAUUAGAUACCCCUGUAGUCCAGGCAU
rnacentral:rRNA from 1 species